rnacentral:lncRNA from 1 species
UGUUUUUAAGACAAAUUAGAUGUUCUUUAAAUCCCAUACUUAUUCUAACAUACAAAUCCCUAACCAAACUAAAAGGACUUGAGCUAACACCACAUCUGAUGUAGUACCAACGAUGACUAAAUAAGCCUUAAUGCCAAUUACUAGUUGUGUAUUAUCAAUAUGAAGCACAACUACGUUUUUAUUCCUCGCUGUAGAUAUGCACAUAUGCAAAACAAAGAAGCACUCAGGCACACUCUUAAUGCACUAUUAACAUAAUAAAGUUGAGAUAUUCAAUAAACGUAUAUGAUCGCAAGUAUGGGUUAAGAAAACAUCUCAAGACGAAAUUCCGUAAGCAUCUCAAGGUCCAUAAUGCAAAGGCAGAGAAGAACAUUAUAAUUUCAUGCAUGUUCAGCUGCUUUAGAUUUCAUGCACCAGAAUCCAGAUAUAUUCCUAGAUUCGGGAAGAGUAAGAACAGAACAUAUACCAACAGACCAUGACAGGUACACAGCUCAUAUCUUCAUUGAAAUCUGGUUGUUGCCUUUCGAAAUAUUAAGCUUUAGUCAAUUAAUCACCCUAAAAGAACAACUACAAUAUUUAAAUGAAUAGGAUGUAACAAGGAGGCCACAAAAUAUAAAUAUCACUAGACUGCCCAUAUCCUAGAACCAAUCAACUUCGUGGAUCUAGUAUUUGGAUAGCGGGUAUAAAUGUGCCUGCAGUGUGUGCAGGCACACUAUAAAACACGUAGAUGCAUACAAUGACGGACCUAAACAGUCUGUGUUUAAGCACCCAUUGUUCUUGAGCCAACCACUAUUCUUUUUUUUUCCUUUCGUGUUGGUGGUGUGCAGACCAACUUGUGCUACCUCCUACCAGCCCAAGUACCAACCGCUACUUUUAUAUAUGAAACUAGUAUUAACAUACAAAUUGAUUGACUAAGCACCCUUCUGUGAUUAGUAGCAACACUAGAUUGAAAGCAGAUGAGCAUCCAUGACUAAAAAUUCCUGGCUCCGUGUAUGUAUACACAUAUAUAAACACACACUAAGUCCGCAUCCAUUGACUCUACACCUACUUAAAAUCCCGGAUCCAUCUCUACCUAUCAAUAAUUAAUUUCCCGCAUAAUUAUAAUUUCUCUCAUUAUAAUUAAAAAAGAAAAAAGAAAAACAUACCUAAAGGGUGUUCAAGUUUGAAAGAACUCUUGGCCAUUGCAAUACUCGAACUCUGAUCUCUUCCUGCAAAUUUCAUACAUCUAAAGAACAUCAGAUAGAAUUCACCUAAAAAAGCCUUUUUUUCACUCACCAAAAAAAUAAACACACAAUAUUUACAAACUUAAUAAACGCAAGUAAAAGCUGUAUUUGCGUGUAGAAAUCACCAAGAAAAAAAAAACAGCAAUUCACGCAAGAGGAUACCUUUCAAAUUUACCCAAAAAAGUAACAAAGCAAAUAAAUUCAAUCAAGAACUGAUGGUUAUGAGAGUAUUCAACAGAGAACAAAAUUAGGGUUUUUUUAUACGAACACGAAACGGAACUACUCAAAGUUGUUUAGAUUCACAAGGGAACUUAUUUUCCAACUACAAAUUUCUCUAAUUUUAUAUGUUACGGAUUGGGUUCGG